CAUGGGGCCAAGCUGCAACCGCUUACUAACCCAUGCAUGGUUUGCUUUGGACCAGCCCUGCUGGGUGGGUUGUGUGAUACUGGGCUGGUACUGACAAAUUCUAUACUUCUUGUCUCUUUUCUCUUUCCUCUCUCCCACCCCCUCAGGAAAUGACAAGGAAGGAGAAGUUAGACCAUCUGGGGCUGUGGGAAGGUCUGGCAGAGAGAAGGUGCUUGACAGUGACAGUACUUGGGAGGCCAGACUUCAUCUCGUCGUAUCCAAGGACUGACUGAAACAACACAGACAAGGGCCAUUUAUGGAAACUGGCAGGAGGCAGAAGGCAACCAGCCUGCCUUCCAUCUCAUCGCCACCUCCCACAGCCAAGUCUAUGGGAAAUGCUCACUGUCCUCCAGCCCAGGAGAACUUUUGUCCCUGCCUGCCAUAUCUUUUUUGGAGAGAGAGGCAAAACAAGUACUCUACACACCAUCACGAAUUUCAAAUGGUAAAAACAUCAUCUCAUUGAUUGUCUUUACAGAGCGUGCUACUGCGAUUGCUUCAUUGAAACUGAUAGAAGGG
rnacentral:lncRNA from 1 species